UGGAUCCAGACUUUGAUUAUGGCUCAGGAUGAACGCUAGCUACAGGCUUAACACAUGCAAGUCGAGGGGAAACGAUAUUGGAAGCUUGCUUCCGAUAGGCGUCGACCGGCGCACGGGUGAGUAACGCGUAUCCAACCUGCCCACCACUUGGGGAUAACCUUGCGAAAGUAAGACUAAUACCCAAUGAUAUCUCUAGAAGACAUCUGAAAGAGAUUAAAGAUUUAUCGGUGAUGGAUGGGGAUGCGUCUGAUUAGCUUGUUGGCGGGGUAACGGCCCACCAAGGCGACGAUCAGUAGGGGUUCUGAGAGGAAGGUCCCCCACAUUGGAACUGAGACACGGUCCAAACUCCUACGGGAGGCAGCAGUGAGGAAUAUUGGUCAAUGGGCGAGAGCCUGAACCAGCCAAGUAGCGUGCAGGAUGACGGCCCUAUGGGUUGUAAACUGCUUUUAUAAGGGAAUAAAGUGAGCCUCGUGAGGCUUUUUGCAUGUACCUUAUGAAUAAGGACCGGCUAAUUCCGUGCCAGCAGCCGCGGUAAUACGGAAGGUCCGGGCGUUAUCCGGAUUUAUUGGGUUUAAAGGGAGCGUAGGCCGGAGAUUAAGCGUGUUGUGAAAUGUAGACGCUCAACGUCUGCACUGCAGCGCGAACUGGUUUCCUUGAGUACGCACAAAGUGGGCGGAAUUCGUGGUGUAGCGGUGAAAUGCUUAGAUAUCACGAAGAACUCCGAU
rnacentral:rRNA from 1 species